GAUCCUGGCUCAGGACGAACGCUGGCGGCGUGCUUAACACAUGCAAGUCGAACGAGAAUCUGUGGAUCGAGGAUUCGUCCAAGUGAAGCAGAGGACAGUGGCGGACGGGUGAGUAACGCGUGAGGAACCUGCCUUUCAGAGGGGGACGAACAGUUGGAAACGACUGCUAAUACCGCAUGAUACGUAUUGGGGGCGAUCCCCGAGACGUCAAAGAUUUAUCGCUGAAAGAUGGCCUCGCGU
rnacentral:rRNA from 1 species